rnacentral:ncRNA from 1 species
UCUCUCUGGAGAAGGCUGCACACGCAGCUGCCGAAGGUGCAAGACGAUCGUGCGGGUAUCGGCGACGGGUAAAAUUCCCGGUUCAGAAGGUACCGCGAUCGUUGAAUCUCUCAGGCAAAAGGACAGAGCG